UGGGGAAUAUUGGACAAUGGGCGCAAGCCUGAUCCAGCAACGCCGCGUGGAGGACGAAGGCCUUCGGGUCGUAAACUCCUGUCAGUAGGGACGAAAAAGCAGGGUCGAACAGGCCCUUGCCAUUGACGGUACCUGCAGAGGAAGCCCCGGCUAACUCCGUGCCAGCAGCCGCGGUAAUACGGAGGGGGCUAGCGUUAUUCGGAAUUACUGGGCGUAAAGGGCGUGUAGGCGGCUUGAUAGGUCAAAAGGUGAAAUCCCUCGGCUCAACCGAGGAACUGCCUUUGAAACCAUCUGGCUCGAGGCUGGGAGGGGGUAGCGGAAUUCCUGGGUGUAGCGGUGAAAUGCGUAGAUAUUGGGAAGAACACCAGUGGCGAAGGCGGCUACCUGGACCGAUACUGACGCUGAGGCGCGAAAGCGUGGGGAGCAAACAGGAUU
rnacentral:rRNA from 1 species